UACGUAGGGUGCAAGCGUUAUCCGGAAUUAUUGGGCGUAAAGAGCUCGUAGGCGGUUUGUCGCGUCUGCCGUGAAAGUCCGGGGCUCAACUCCGGAUCUGCGGUGGGUACGGGCAGACUAGAGGUGAUGUAGGGGAGACUGGAAUUCCUGGUGUAGCGGUGAAAUGCGCAGAUAUCAGGAGGAACACCGAUGGCGAAGGCAGGUCUCUGGGCAUUAACUGACGCUGAGGAGCGAAAGCAUGGGGAGCGAACAGG
rnacentral:rRNA from 1 species